UGGUAGAUGCACCCUGAUUGACGUUUCCCGGCUCUUUUGAGCCGGUUUUUUUU
rnacentral:sRNA from 1 species